UCCCUAUCCGCCGCGCGCGUAGGAAACUUGAGAAAGGCUGUCCCUAGUACGAGAGGACCGGGAUGGACGAACCUCUGGUGUGCCAGUUGUACCGCCAGGUGCAUGGCUGGUUGGCUACGUUCGGAAGUGAUAACCGCUGAACGCAUCUAAGCGGGAAGCACGUUUCAAGAUGAGGUUUCCCACCCCUUGUGGGUUAAGGCCCCCAAAAGAUGAUUGGGUUGAUAGGCCGGAGGUGUACAGCAGCAAUGCCCAGCCGACCGGUACUAAUAGGCCGAAGACUUGCCAC
rnacentral:rRNA from 1 species